UACGUAGGGUGCGAGCGUUAAUCGGAAUUACUGGGCGUAAAGCGUGCGCAGGCGGUUUUGUAAGCCAGAUGUGAAAUCCCCGGGCUUAACCUGGGAAUGGCAUUUGGGACUGCAAGGCUUGAGUUCGGGAGAGGGAUGCGGAAUUCCAGGUGUAGCGGUGAAAUGCGUAGAUAUCUGGAGGAACACCGGUGGCGAAGGCGGCAUCCUGGACCGACACUGACGCUGAGGAGCGAAAGCCAGGGGAGCAAACGGG
rnacentral:rRNA from 1 species